AUGAACGCUGGCGGCGUGCCUAAUACAUGCAAGUCGAGCGAACAGAUGAGGAGCUUGCUCCUCUGACGUUAGCGGCGGACGGGUGAGUAACACGUGGAUAACCUACCUAUAAGACUGGGGUAACUUCGGGAAACCGGAGCUAAUACCGGAUAAUAUAUUGAACCGCAUGGUUCAAUAGUGAAAGACGGUUUUGCUGUCACUUAUAGAUGGAUCCGCGCCGCAUUAGCUAGUUGGUAAGGUAACGGCUUACCAAGGCAACGAUGCGUAGCCGACCUGAGAGGGUGACGGCCAACAUGGAAACGGAGACAGGUCCCAGACCCCUAGGGGGGCAAGCGGUGGGAAAUCUGCCGAAAGGGGGGAAACCCUGCGGGGGAAACGCCGCGUGAGGGAUAAGGUCUUUCGGUCCGAAAACCCCUUUUAUUAGGAAAAAAAAAAUGGGAAGUAACUAUGCACGUCUUGACGGUACCUAAUCAGAAAGCCACGGCUAACUACGUG
rnacentral:rRNA from 1 species